rnacentral:lncRNA from 1 species
AAUUCAUGAGAUGAAUUUAAGACAACACCUGCUAAUUCCUAGCACCUGCCAAUUUCAUUUUAGGACAUCUGUCAAAAGUUGACAUAUGGGUCUUAAACUGAAGAGGGCUCAUUGGAGGAUUUUUGUGGAGUGUCCACAUGCCAAAAUCCAAUUGAAUUGGAUGCCAUAAUCAGAUUAUGGCAUGAGCCCAAUUGGAUUAAAGUGGGC